rnacentral:misc_RNA from 1 species
AAGUCGUAACAAGGUUUCCGUAGGUGAACCUGCGGAAGGAUCAUUAACACGUAUCCAACGUAAAACCCCCCUGUGAACCUUCAGACCUGUUCUCCUAGCCCAGUGCGAUCCAGCAAUCCCGGUAAAUCAUUGUUGAACAGUAUUGAUUCGGGACCUCUGACAAAUGAGAAGUUACAGUUAGGAUAUGAGCGGAGAUAGCUGCAUGGCAUCCCGAAGCAGUCAGUGUCUGAAAGUGUCAUUAGGGUCGCUCACCGACCAGCAGACAUGCAACCGGGUCCCCAUGCCCCUUUAUCACCCCAAUAACUCUGUGACUCCACGGGAAACCAGUGGGGUAAAAAAACUCGAACAACUGUUAACAAUGGAUAUCUUGGUUCUC